rnacentral:rRNA from 1 species
AGAGGCUUCCGCAAUGGGGGAAACCCUGACGGAGCGACGCCGCGUGAGGGAUGAAGGCUUUCGGGUUGUAAACCUCUUUCAGGAGGGAAGAAAGGUCGGCGAGUGAACAAUUCUCCGGCUGUGACGGUACCUCCAUAAGAAGCUCCGGCUAACUCCGUGCCAGCAGCCGCGGUAACACGGGGGGAGCAAGCGUUGUUCGGCUUCAUUGGGCGUAAAGGGCGCGUAGGCGGCUUGGCAAGUUUGACGUGAAAUGUACCGGUUCAACCGGGGCGCUGUGUCAAAAACUGCCUUGCUUGAGGUCGAGGGAGGAAAGUGGAAUUCCUGGUGUAGCGGUGAAAUGCGUAGAUAUCAGGAGGAACACCCGUGGCGAAGGCGGCUUUCUAUCUCGAUUCUGACGCUGAGGCGCGAAAGCUAGGGGAGCAAAC